rnacentral:tRNA from 1 species
UCCCAGGUAGCUCAGUGGUAAAGAAUCUGCCUGCCAAGCAGGAGACUGGGGUUCAGUCCCUAGGCUGGGAA